AUUGAACGCUGGCGGUAGGCCUAACACAUGCAAGUCGAGCGAGCGGCGGAAGGGUGAGUAAUGUCUGGGAAACUGCCUGAUGGAGGGGGAUAACUACUGGAAACGGUAGCUAAUACCGCAUACCAUCAGAUGUGCCCAGAUGGGAUUAGCUAGUAGGUGGGGAAAUGGCUCACAUAGUCGACGAUCCCUAGCUGGUCUGAGAGGAUGACCAGCCACACUGGAACUGAGACACGGGCCAGACUCCGCAGUGAGGCAGAAGUGGGGAAUAUUGAACAAUGGGCGAAAGCCUGAUGCAGCCAUGCCGCGUGUGUGAAGAAGGCCUUCGGGUUGAAAAGCACUUUCAGCGGGGAGGCGUUACCCGCAGAAGAAGCACCGGCUAACUCCGUGCCAGCAGCCGCGGUAAAC
rnacentral:rRNA from 1 species